UUAAGCGACUAAGCGUACACGGUGGAUGCCCUGGCAGUCAGAGGCGAUGAAGGACGUGCUAAUCUGCGAAAAGCGUCGGUAAGGUGAUAUGAACCGUUAUAACCGGCGAUGUCCGAAUGGGGAAACCCAGUGCAAUUCGUUGCACUAUCGUUAACUGAAUACAUAGGUUAACGAGGCGAACCGGGGGAACUGAAACAUCUAAGUACCCCGAGGAAAAGAAAUCAACCGAGAUUCCCCCAGUAGCGGCGAGCGAACGGGGAGCAGCCCAGAGUCUGAAUCAGCUUGUGUGUUAGUGGAACGGUCUGGAAAGUCCGACGGUACAGGGUGAUAGUCCCGUACACCAAAAUGCACAGGCUGUGAACUCGAAGAGUAGGGCGGGACACGUGGUAUCCUGUCUGAAUAUGGGGGGACCAUCCUCCAAGGCUAAAUACUCCUGACUGACCGAUAGUGAACCAGUACCGUGAGGGAAAGGCGAAAAGAACCCCGGCGAGGGGAGUGAAAAAGAACCUGAAACCGUGUACGUACAAGCAGUGGGAGCACCUUCGGGUGUGACUGCGUACCUUUUGUAUAAUGGGUCAGCGACUUAUAUUCUGUAGCAAGGUUAACCGUAUAGGGGAGCCGCAGGGAAACCGAGUCUUAACUGGGCGUUAAGUUGCAGGGUAUAGACCCGAAACCCGGUGAUCUAGCCAUGGGCAGGUUGAAGGUUGGGUAACACUAACUGGAGGACCGAACCGACUAAUGUUGAAAAAUUAGCGGAUGACUUGUGGCUGGGGGUGAAAGGCCAAUCAAACCGGGAGAUAGCUGGUUCUCCCCGAAAGCUAUUUAGGUAGCGCCUCGUGAAUUCAUCUUCGGGGGUAGAGCACUGUUUCGGCUAGGGGGUCAUCCCGACUUACCAACCCGAUGCAAACUACGAAUACCGAAGAAUGUUAUCACGGGAGACACACGGCGGGUGCUAACGUCCGUCGUGAAGAGGGAAACAACCCAGACCGCCAGCUAAGGUCCCAAAGUCAUGGUUAAGUGGGAAACGAUGUGGGAAGGCACAGACAGCCAGGAUGUUGGCUUAGAAGCAGCCAUCAUUUAAAGAAAGCGUAAUAGCUCACUGGUCGAGUCGGCCUGCGCGGAAGAUGUAACGGGGCUAAACCAUGCACCGAAGCUGCGGCAGCGACACUAUGUGUUGUUGGGUAGGGGAGCGUUCUGUAAGCCUGCGAAGGUGACCUGUGAGGGUUGCUGGAGGUAUCAGAAGUGCGAAUGCUGACAUAAGUAACGAUAAAGCGGGUGAAAAGCCCGCUCGCCGGAAGACCAAGGGUUCCUGUCCAACGUUAAUCGGGGCAGGGUGAGUCGACCCCUAAGGCGAGGCCGAAAGGCGUAGUCGAUGGGAAACAGGUUAAUAUUCCUGUACUUGGUGUUACUGCGAAGGGGGGACGGAGAAGGCUAUGUUAGCCGGGCGACGGUUGUCCCGGUUUAAGCAUGUAGGCUGGUUAUCCAGGCAAAUCCGGAUAAUCAAGGCUGAGGUGUGAUGACGAGGCACUACGGUGCUGAAGUAACAAAUGCCCUGCUUCCAGGAAAAGCCUCUAAGCAUCAGGUAACAUUAAAUCGUACCCCAAACCGACACAGGUGGUCAGGUAGAGAAUACCAAGGCGCUUGAGAGAACUCGGGUGAAGGAACUAGGCAAAAUGGUGCCGUAACUUCGGGAGAAGGCACGCUGGUGUGUAGGUGAAGUCCCUGCGGAUGGAGCUGAGACCAGUCGAAGAUACCAGCUGGCUGCAACUGUUUAUUAAAAACACAGCACUGUGCAAACACGAAAGUGGACGUAUACGGUGUGACGCCUGCCCGGUGCCGGAAGGUUAAUUGAUGGGGUUAUCCGUAAGGAGAAGCUCUUGAUCGAAGCCCCGGUAAACGGCGGCCGUAACUAUAACGGUCCUAAGGUAGCGAAAUUCCUUGUCGGGUAAGUUCCGACCUGCACGAAUGGCGUAAUGAUGGCCAGGCUGUCUCCACCCGAGACUCAGUGAAAUUGAACUCGCUGUGAAGAUGCAGUGUACCCGCGGCAAGACGGAAAGACCCCGUGAACCUUUACUAUAGCUUGACACUGAACAUUGAGCCUUGAUGUGUAGGAUAGGUGGGAGGCUUUGAAGCGUGGACGCCAGUCUGCGUGGAGCCAACCUUGAAAUACCACCCUUUAAUGUUUGAUGUUCUAACGUUGGCCCCUGACCGGGGUUGCGGACAGUGUCUGGUGGGUAGUUUGACUGGGGCGGUCUCCUCCCAAAGCGUAACGGAGGAGCACGAAGGUUAGCUAAUCCUGGUCGGACAUCAGGAGGUUAGUGCAAUGGCAUAAGCUAGCUUGACUGCGAGCGUGACGGCGCGAGCAGGUGCGAAAGCAGGUCAUAGUGAUCCGGUGGUUCUGAAUGGAAGGGCCAUCGCUCAACGGAUAAAAGGUACUCCGGGGAUAACAGGCUGAUACCGCCCAAGAGUUCAUAUCGACGGCGGUGUUUGGCACCUCGAUGUCGGCUCAUCACAUCCUGGGGCUGAAGUAGGUCCCAAGGGUAUGGCUGUUCGCCAUUUAAAGUGGUACGCGAGCUGGGUUUAGAACGUCGUGAGACAGUUCGGUCCCUAUCUGCCGUGGGCGCUGGAGAAUUGAGGGGGGCUGCUCCUAGUACGAGAGGACCGGAGUGGACGCAUCACUGGUGUUCGGGUUGUCAUGCCAAUGGCACUGCCCGGUAGCUAAAUGCGGAAGAGAUAAGUGCUGAAAGCAUCUAAGCACGAAACUUGCCCCGAGAUGAGUUCUCCCUGAGACUUUAAGUCUCCUGAAGGAACGUUAAAGACGAUGACGUUGAUAGGCCGGGUGUGUAAGCGCAGCGAUGCGUUGAGCUAACCGGUACUAAUGAACCGUGAGGCUUAACCUU
rnacentral:rRNA from 2 species